AACACAUUUUCAGUAAAAUGUAUUCUCCAGAUUGCUAAGUCUACAGACUUAGGAUACCAUAAGGAAAUAUGGAAUUUCAAGUAUAAG